CAGGUAAAACAAUUUGACUUUAAAUUUAAAAUCUCAGGUAUCAAUUAUUAAACUCUUAUUCACUUGCGCUAGGAACGAUCGAUACAAUUUUUUUUUUUUGUUACAAACUGAAAAAUACUAGUUCCCAUAUGAUAUCCAUCCAUAUACAACAUUAAAGAUAAUCUCCUGAUUUCUCAGCCACCGUUUGGUUGGGGGUUAAGGGGUGGAAUAACUCCUUAACCCCCAAUUUAUACCCAAACACCACUCUUUUGGGUGGGAUUAGUAAACCCCACCUCAAACUGGGUUAGUGGGGUUUACUAACCCCACUCCCCCUUCCAACUUUAACCCCGCACGUAUCCCGAACCCUCACCUUUUUCUUCUUUAUCAAUCAUUAACCCCACUCCCCCUCCCAACUUUAACCCCGCACGCAUCUCGAGCUCUCACAUUUUUCUUCUUUAUCAAUCAUUAUCUUCUUAUCCCAUCUACUCCAACCAAACACUUUUUUUCACUAUCCUAGACUAACUCCAACCUCCAACCAAACACAAAAAAAUUUUAACACCAUUUUAAUCCUGAACUUAACCUUAUCCCUGAAAUAGCUACUUUUUCUUAACCCCGAACCAAACGGGGGCUCAGAGUCAUAUAGAUUAGAAACUCGACUUC
rnacentral:lncRNA from 1 species